GACGAACGCUGGCGGCGUGCUUAACACAUGCAAGUCGAACGAUGAAGCCGGAGCUUGCUCUGGUGAAUUAGUGGCGAACGGGUGAGUAACACGUGAGUAACCUGCCCUUGACUCUGGGAUAACUGCUAGAAAUGGUAGCUAAUACCGGAUACGACCCUCGGAGGCAUCUCCAGGGGGUGGAAAGAAUUUCGGUCAAGGAUGGACUCGCGGCCUAUCAGCUAGUUGGUGAGGUAACGGCUCACCAAGGCGACGACGGGUAGCCGGCCUGAGAGGGUGAACGGCCACACUGGGACUGGGACACGGCCCAGACUCCUGCGGGAGGCAGCAGUGGGGAAGAUUGCACAAUGGGCGCAAGCCUGAUGCAGCAACGCCGCGUGAGGGAUGACGGCCUUCGGGUUGUAAACCUCUUUUAGUAGGGAAGAAGCGAAAGUGACGGUACCUGCAGAAAAAGCACCGGCUAACUACGUGCCAGCCGCCGCGGUAA
rnacentral:rRNA from 1 species